GGGCAGCACUAGCACUCUGGAGAAGGUCUGCCGCUGUCUGCACUUUCCUGGUUCUAUGCAGGCAGAUGAGUGUCACAGCUGUAACUGAGGCACAGAGCAGUACACACAGUGGAGCCGAUUUCCGCGAUGGCGAGAGGGGGCACCGGAGGUGACAACAAUAACAAGACUGUCCUUCGGACAAGUUUUAGAUUCUCAGGAUGAUGGAGUGAGUGAUGGAAUAGGUUGCCAACUGUAGUUACUCCACUCAGCACAGAAUGGCUGCGGGGAAAUAUAAUCAGACAUGCCCAAAGAAGUCUGCUUAGGGUGAAACAAAUACCUUUGAGGUUUAAAUCAGGAAGGAGAGACUGUUUCUACAGGUGUCAUACAAAAAUCAAUACUGAGCCAAGGAUUAUUGGAUCCCAUAGAACCACGGAGACUUGGUAGUGAAAUUCUUCCAAAGCAUUCCAUCCGUGCAGGCAGAUGGUGUUCCUAGGUUUGGAAAUAUAAAUCCCAUGGGAAGUCAGCUGAAGACCAUUUUAUGCAUCACUCAUCCUGUUAGAGCCCUGUGCUGUUCUGUCUCUCUAUAAGACUGGCUGAAACCACCACGGUUGUUUACAAUUUAUGCUCUAACUUUGGAUCACCUAGUUAAUACUCUAACUCCGAUUAUUACCAAAGACAAUGUUCUAUAAAAGAUAUUGUCUAUUAGAAGGAUGCUUCUGCAUUAUUAAUAAAAUCACAGGGAAAAUGCAACAUUUUGGAUGUCACAUCUGAUAAGUUGGCAGUUAAAGAACAGAAACAGCAAUAAGACUGCGUGGCUACAUUUUCCCAGUGCCACCAACUGGGAUUUAAGCUGACUAACAUUUUGAAAGCCCAGCCCAUUUCAUUCACAGCAGGAUGGCAGUGGGUGACUGAUCGUACCCGCCAGCUGGCUAAUGUCAUAAUUAACAAAGUUGCUACUACAUCUGCAAAGUUUAAUCGAAAAAUUUGCCAGUGAUAUGAUGGCCUUGUCACAGAGAUCACAAGGGACACGGAGUUGACUUUUGCUCAAGGUGGAACGACAGAGCUGUGUAGGCAAGAUGAGAAAUUGCGAACUUGUUCGGCCAAAGGAGGCUAAUAAUGAAGGGGCCGGGAAGGAGGCCAGUGCUACCAGGGUUAUCUCACAACCUCAGAUGCUGGAUAAGUCGACGGAGGCAGAAUCGCUUUGGGAUGACAUUCAGAAAGCCUGGAGUGAUUACUUGCAAGAGAAAAGCCUACCUAUUCUUUCCAAGGUGCAGGAAUAUUCCCCUGACCUGCUCAUCCAGUGGUCCAGUAAUGAAUUACUGGAGACCUGCCUUAGACAAAGAAUGCACUCGGAGCCCCAACACACCUAAAGCCAUGCUUUGAAGGAUCUGCCAAGCUCACUUUUAAUCAUGAGAAAGAAAUUACCCACACGGAGUCAGCAGAAAAUGAGAAAGUAGAGCUCGUGCUGUGAAUAAUUCCAGCAAGUGCCAAGGGGCUAGUUGAGGAAUGGCUUCAUGAGAUGUUAGUCUAAAACAGCACCUUGGAUCUAAGCAGCACCUUUGAGAAAGAAAAGACUGCUUCAAGAAUGUCUAGUUGCACCUCCUUUCCGUAUGUGGCCUAAAUGCCUAGGUUGGAUCAAUAGUUUAAUUUUUUUAUUGAACUGUUUAAUAUUGACUAUGGACUUACAUUCACUUUUACUGUUUUCUGUAUAUUUACUUUUGCUUGAAGUGUUUUAAUAUUGACUAUUUACCUCUGCUCAUUUUUAUUGAUUUUCUGUAUUUUUUCAAUGAAAAUUAUAAUAAAAAUUAUUUUUGU
ensembl:lncRNA RMST rhabdomyosarcoma 2 associated transcript